rnacentral:rRNA from 1 species
UACGGAGGAUGCGAGCGUUAUCCGGAUUUAUUGGGUUUAAAGGGUGCGUAGGCGGGUUAUCAAGUCAGCGGUAAAAUCGUGGAGCUCAACUCCAUCCAGCCGUUGAAACUGAUGAUCUUGAGUGGGCGAGAAGUAUGCGGAAUGCGUGGUGUAGCGGUGAAAUGCAUAGAAAUCACGCAGAACUCCGAUUGCGAAGGCAGCAUACCGGCGCCCGACUGACGCUGAAGCACGAAAGCGUGGGUAUCGAACAGG